rnacentral:rRNA from 1 species
UAAUGCCUGGCGGCGGCUUACACAUGCAGUCGAGCGGAAACGAUGAUAGCUUGCUAUCAGGCGUCGAGCGGCGGACGGGUGAGUAAUACUUAGGAAUCUACCUAGUAGUGGGGGAUAGCUCGGGGAAACUCGAAUUAAUACCGCAUACGACCUACGGGAGAAAGGGGGCAACUUGUUGCUCUCGCUAUUAGAUGAGCCUAAGUCGGAUUAGCUAGAUGGUGGGGUAAAGGCCUACCAUGGCGACGAUCUGUAGCUGGUCUGAGAGGAUGAUCAGCCACACCGGGACUGAGACACGGCCCGGACUCCUACGGGAGGCAGCAGUGGGGAAUAUUGGACAAUGGGGGCAACCCUGAUCCAGCCAUGCCGCGUGUGUGAAGAAGGCCUUUUGGUUGUAAAGCACUUUAAGCAGUGAAGAAGACUCCAUGGUUAAUACCCAUGGACGAUGACAUUAGCUGCAGAAUAAGCACCGGCUAACUCUGUGCCAGCGGCCGCGGUAAU